UACGUAGGGUGCGAGCGUUAAUCGGAAUUACUGGGCGUAAAGCGUGCGCAGGCGGCUUUGCAAGACAGAUGUGAAAUCCCCGGGCUUAACCUGGGAACUGCAUUUGUGACUGCAUGGCUGGAGUGCGGCAGAGGGGGAUGGAAUUCCGCGUGUAGCAGUGAAAUGCGUAGAUAUCUGGAGGAACACCGGUGGCGAAGGCGGCAUCCUGGACCGACACUGACGCUGAGGCGCGAAAGCUAGGGGAGCAAACGGG
rnacentral:rRNA from 1 species